ensembl:lncRNA
CGGCAACACACUCAGGUACUGGGCUAGCUGCUAACGGCUAAAUGCUAACUUUACCUUAAUAACACACAAAGGUGGGCUAGCCGCUAACCGCUAACUUUACCUUGAUAUCGCGCACAGGUGGGCUAGCCGCUAACCGCUAACUUUACCUUGAUAAUGCACACAGGUGGGCUAGCCGCUAACCGCUAACUUUACCUUGAUAAUGCACACAGGUGGGCUAGCCACUAACCGCUAACUUUACCUUGAUAAUGCACACAGGUGGGCUAGCCACUAACCGCUAACUUUACCUUGAUAAUGCACACAGGUGGGCUAGCCACUAACCGCUCAGUUUACCUUGAUAACGCACACAUGUGGGCUAGCCGUAAUUGCUAAACACUAACUUUAUAACAGCUAACUGUACCUUUAACGCG